rnacentral:rRNA from 1 species
CUUGCUCUGGCUGACGAGUGGCGGACGGGUGCGUAACGCGUGGGAAUCUACCUUAUAGUGGGGGAUAGCCCGGAGAAAUCCGGAUUAAUACCGUAUACGCCCUUUGGGGGAAAGAUUUAUCGGAGAAGGAUCGGCCCGCGUUAGAUUAGUUAGUUGGUGGGGUAAUGGCCUACCAAGACUACGAUCUAUAGCUGGUUUGAGAGGAUGAUCAGCAACACUGGGACUGAGACACGGCCCAG